UGGGGAAUCUUGGGCAAUGGAAGUCUAACGCGGMGCACGACGCCGCGUGAGGGAUGACGUCUUCGGAGUGUAAACCUCUUUUGCCCGGGACGAAUUGCCAACUUCAGUUGUUGNCGGUACCGGGUGAAUAAGCACCGGCUAACUCCGUG
rnacentral:rRNA from 1 species